rnacentral:lncRNA from 1 species
CCGGGCGUGGUGGCACACGCCUUUAAUCCUAGCACUUGGGAGGCAGAGGCAGGAGGAUUUCUGAGUUCAAGGCCAGCCUGGUCUACAGAGUGAGUUCCAGGACAGCCUGGUCUACACAGAGAAAUCCUGCCUCGGAAAAAAGAGAGAGAGAGAGGGUUCUCUGAGGCUCAAAUUGGACAUCCCCAUCUUGAAUCAGAGCAGCUGUUGACCAACCACAGAGCCUCUGGAAGUCAGGCCUAUCAGCAUUCCUGCAUGGAAGACUGAGGAAAGCUCCUCCCAGAAGCUGUAUCAGCAGUGAAUGAUGACUGGGAAGAGAGAUUGCUGGUACCAUAGGCUGCCUUUGACUCGCCCAAGGCCCUGUAAGUAACCCCAGCAAACUCAUCGACUCACCAAGCUGGAGCUGAGUGGGUUCUGUCCUCUCCCCUAGGUAACAAGAUGUUUCUUUUUCUUGCCCCCAGGAAACAUCACACAACAGAGCUGAAAUUUCCUAUUGCCUAAUGACAAUGUGGCCGGGACAUCAUCUCAGCAUAAUGCAUUCCUCACACGUUCGUGGCAAUGGUCUCCGGUGUAAACAAGCCUGCCCUUCAGCCGGCCAGAGAGAACACACAGUACUGUACAGUACAUAAUACUUGAUAACUAAAUGACUAUAUAUUUACUAUUAUUGUUUUAGAGUAUAGGGGUUUUUUUAAGAUAUUUUACUGUGUGUCUUAGUUUGCUUUUAUAAAUGUAAUAAAACACUAACCAAAACCAACCUGGGAGAGAAAGGGUUUAUUACAGUUCAGAGUCCAUCAUGAAAAGAAGUCAGGGCUGGAAAUGAAGCAGAGACCAUUACUCAUCCGGGAAAACUUGCGUCUGUAGUUUAAAGUUGUAAUCAUUCACAUACAAGAAAUUUGAAAAUACUUAGGAGUUUAGAGCAUAUUUCUCAGUCACAAUGGAGGUGGCUUGGAAAAUAUUCAGAGAAUAGUGGAGGAACCCAGUAUUGGCCUCCAGUUCUACACUGACUUGCUCUUGAGACCCUGCUCAGUCUCCUUUCUUAAACAACCCAGAACCACCUGUCUGGGGGGUCACUGCCUACAGUGGGGCUAGGCUCUCUCAUAUCAACUAUUAAUUAACAUAUUAAUACCCCACAGACUUGCCUAAAGCCCAAUAUGGUGGCGGAAACAUCUUCUCCGUUAAGGUUCCCUCUUCCCAAGUGAAUCUAGUUUGUGUCAAGAAGACAAAACCUAACCAGCAUGCUGUGUAACUGCAUAGCAUGCCACCCUGCAGCAGCC